rfam:Triticum aestivum genome assembly, contig: Triticum_aestivum_CS42_TGACv1_scaffold_405229_5BL
AAAAUACUCCCUACGUCCCCAAAUUCUUGUCUUAGAUUUGUCUAAAUACGGAUAUAUGAAAUCACAUUUUAGUAUUAGAUACAUCCAUAUCUAGACUAAUCUAAGACAAGAAUUUUGGGACGGAGGGAGUACUAG